UUUUUCCUUUAUUUUUUGUGA
rnacentral:piRNA from 1 species